rfam:Gossypium raimondii Chr03_contig_786, whole genome shotgun sequence.
UAUGAAAUUUUUUAUCCAUUUGUAUUGUUAAAAAUUGACGUAGCUAACAAAAUAAUCAAACAAUGACUUGUGACAUGUCACGUGUAUUUUAUGCUAAUGUAUAAAGAUCGAUUUUUAAUAGUAAAAAUAGAUAGAUUUUUUAACA